rnacentral:rRNA from 1 species
AGAGUUUGAUCAUGGCUCAGAACGAACGCUGGCGGCGUGCCUAACACAUGCAAGUCGCGCGAGAAAAGGGGGGCAACUCCCUGAGUAAAGCGGCGAACGGGUGAGUAACACGUAGGUAACCUACCCUCGAGCCUGGGAUAACCUACCGAAAGGUGGGCUAAUACCGGAUAUGACCACGGGAGUUGCGGCUCCUGCGGUGAAAGGUGGCCUCUGCUUGCAAGCUACCACUCAUGGAUGGGCCUGCGCGCCAUUAGCUAGUUGGUGAGGUAAAGGCUCACCAAGGCGAUGAUGGCUAGCUGGUCUGAGAGGAUGGCCAGCCACACUGGGACUGAAACACGGCCCAGACUCCUACGGGAGGCAGCAGUGGGGGAUAUUGCGCAAUGGGCGAAAGCCUGACGCAGCGACGCCGCGUGGGUGAUGAAGGCCUUCGGGUCGUAAAGCCCUGUCGAGGGGAAAGAAACGGUUCCGACCCAACACGUCGGGACCCUGACGGUACCCCUAAAGGAAGCACCGGCUAACUCCGUGCCAGCAGCCGCGGUAAUACGGAGGGUGCGAGCGUUGUUCGGAAUCACUGGGCGUAAAGGGCGUGUAGGCGGUCUGUUAAGUCUGAUGUGAAAGCCCGGGGCUCACCCCCGGAAGUGCAUUGGAUACUGGCGGACUCGAGUCCCGGAGAGGAGGGUGGAAUUCCUGGUGUAGCGGUGAAAUGCGUAGAUAUCAGGAGGAACACCGGUGGCGAAGGCGGCCCUCUGGACGGUGACUGACGCUGAGACGCGAAAGCGUGGGGAGCAAACAGGAUUAGAUACCCUGGUAGUCCACGCUGUAAACGAUGAGCACUAGGUGUCGUGGGUAUUGACCCCCGCGGUGCCGCAGCUAACGCAUUAAGUGCUCCGCCUGGGGACUACGGCCGCAAGGUUAAAACUCAAAGG